CCCCAGGUGGUAUAAAUCCCCAGGUGGUAUAAACUGUAUAAAUCCCCAGGUGGUAUAAACUGUAUAAAUCCCCAGGUUGUAUAAACUGUAUAAAUCCCCAGGUGGUAUAAAUCCCCAGGUUGUAUAAACUGUAUAAAUCCGCAGGUGGUAUAAAUCCCCAGGUGGUAUAAACUGUAUAAAUCCCCAGGUGGUAUUAACUGUAUAAAUCCCCAGGUGGUAUAAACUGCAUAAAUCCCCAGGUGGUAUUAACUGUAUAAAUCCCCAGGUGGUAUUAACUGUAUAAAUCCCCAGGUGGUAUAAACUGUAUAAAUCCCCAGGUGGUAUAAACUGUAUAAAUCCCCAGGUGGUAUAAACUGUAUAAAUCCCCAGGUUGUAUAAACUGUAUAAAUCCCCAGGUGGUAUAAAUCCCCAGGUUGUAUAAACUGUAUAAAUCCCCAGGUGGUAUAAACUGUAUAAAUCCCCAGGUGGUAUUAACUGUAUAAAUCCCCAGGUGGUAUAAACUGUAUAAAUCCCCAGGUGGUAUAAACUGUAUAAAUCCCCAGGUGGUAUUAACUGUAUAAAUCCCCAGGUGGUAUAAACUGUAUAAAUCCCCAGGUGGUAAGC